GAAACACCGAGAAGAGAGAUUCUACAGCAGCAGAGAGACGGUAGUUCCACUUCCAGCAUUCCCACUGAGUUUAACUUCAUAACUUACAGAGAUGAAUUAAACAUGGAGCGAGGUCGGUGUUGGAUGUGAGCAAUGUGAGGCUCUCCGUCCGGUCGACCAUCAGUUGCCGGGAAGAGCUGUGAAGUAUGAUGCAGAUUGAAUGAGAAAGCAGCAGGACCAGGAAGCAAUGAGCUCUUUCAGUGAAUCCCAUCUGAAUUGAUCCAACAGAACCAGUUCACUGAGUAGGAUAAUUCACUGGAAACUGACUCUUACCCAGGCACAAGGAAAACAUCGGUACCACAGGUGGCCCAGAAGUCAAUGUUUCUGACAGGCUCUGUGGAUCAGUUGAAUGGACUGGAGAAUGUUGCCAUUGUUCAGGUUACUCAGACACAGCAGAGGGCUUGCACAAAGAACCAGGUUGAAUCAAGCACCCAACAACAGCAAAAUGAUUCCAAAAAAAAGUCAAAAUGUCUUUGAGCAUCUGCCGGCACAGUGAGAGGUGUACCUUUGCUCUUAAGUACUUAUUCCAAGCCUUCACGGCAAAAGCUUAUGAGAAAAUUCCUCUAACAGUUGCAAGCAGACUUCAAACCUUGGGGAACAUAAAUUAAUCAAACCUGGU